GAUCGGCUCGCUACUGCUGCGCCCGACUGCACGCAAGGCUUCAGUAUUAGCGAACACUAUCAGAAGAAACAGAAGAAUGUAGCAAGAGGAAUGAAUCUUAACCAUACCAUCGAAUCUGACUAGCACUAUGCAUCAACAGACAUAUUUAGGAGACAAAAUAUCUAUGAAUUCUGGAAAAUAACUCAUUUUCAACUAGAGGUCAAAAUGGCAACAAAUGUCUUUUAAUUUUCUUUGAGAAGGCAUCUUCCUAGUUGGACAUCAGUAGAUUUACACAGAAGUGACCUCUGACUUACAGUUGGAGCUGAGGGAGAAGAAAGAGGGAGAGAUAAGAGAGAAGAUUGAUUUUCUGUAGGUUACACAUUACAUUUUUGAGAGAAAAUUUUGUUCCUGAAUAUGCUUUUUUUUUCAAUAAUACCUUUUUCCGUUAAUGUCAUAAGCAAUAAAAUUUGAUCUGAAAAGUUAAAAACUUCCCCUCUUCUACGUUCAGCUAAUUAUUUUAAUUGUAAUAAUUCAUUUAUUCGGUAAUAAGAGUAUGGGAGUUUGGCAAAGGUUUUCUUCAUUUAUUCUGUGAUAAGCAAUCACAUUCAUAUAUCAUGUGAUGCUACUUCAGGUUGUUUUAUGAAAAGGUUCUAAAAGUUCAGCAUAUAAAACAAAUAAUACUUAGCAGCCAAUUUAAUGUAAUGAAGAACUGCAAAUGCUUAUGAGAAGCUUUACUGAAAAUCUUUCUUUUGCUUGAGAUACUGCCUGCUAUCAUGUGCUUUUGCACAUGUCCUUCUGACUCAUUAUAUUCAGGAGGCAGAAAUCUCACCAUUUCCAAUGGUAGAAAAUGCUUGGGCUCUGUCUUUUCAACCUAUGAUUUUUGCUUGUCUAGGAGAUUUGAUGACAAAAUGGCUAUGUUAACAUCUUUCUUAACUUGAUUCCUGAGGGGUUAAGGAAAACUUCAUGGAAUGUCAUUAUUCCCUUAAAGAUACACGUUUUGUUGGACUGACAAAGUGGUUUGAUUCCAAAUUAGCACUUUUUGCUAGAAAAAUUGGACAUCAUCAUUAAAAGACAGUGUCAUCUUAAUGGUUUAUUUUUAUUUUCUUCUGAUCUUUUUAACCGAAGUCAAAAUAACUACUUUAAGAAAUUAUCUAAUAUUAAGACCUUGUGUAAAAUUCUUUUUAUUUCAGUUAACAAUGUCUAACUCAUAAAACUGUCUUACUCUCAGUUUUUCUUCUUUAUUAUGGGCCAAGCUCAU